rnacentral:lncRNA from 1 species
UGCAGGUGUUUGAUAAAAUGCCCAUGUGGAAAAUUGUGGUAGCUACAAUAGAACUAUAAGUCAUGGACUUAAUUUUGAAUGUCUUUAUCUGUGGCCUUUAUAAUAUGCAUCAUUUUAACAAUAUUAGACAGGUUUUUUCAGAUAUAAUCUUCUAACUAUACAUACAGUUUUCUUUGUGUGCAUAAAAAAUCUCUGGCAAAUACUAUAUUCUAAAGGUUUGUACACAAUUUCAUAUCAGUUUUGCCAUAGGUGGGUCAUUAUUUUCCACAAUUCUGUUAGCUAAAUUAAAUUUGAAGUAUUGAUUCAAUUAUGAGUUAUUUGGAAUGGUUGAUACAUUGAUAGAUGAUUAUAUAAGUUUGAUUCACUAGGCGACGAGAUUCAAUGGACAACUUUAGAAGACAAUUGUGAGUUGUGGAAGGUAAAGUUAAGCAUUUUUCAGUUUAAAUUUACAACCAAGAGGAGGAGUUAAUUUGCAAAAGCACAAUGAUUGGUCUUAAAAUGAGUUUUUCCUUCACGUUAAAUAAGUUCUUAAACUGCAUAUCUUCUUUUUGAAAAUUCUUACCAGUUGAAUUUGAUCUCAAUAAAAAAUUGUUAUUCAAGUUUUCUUCAACUGUGUAUUUAAAUAUGAUCUGAUCCAAACCUUCCAAUAUUCAUGAGGCAUGCCUAAUAUUCUUAUGUUUGGGUUCGAUUGUCUGUAUUUUUAACUCUUACUGUUAUGUUCAUUUUCAUUACAUGUCAUGUUGAUUUUCAUGGAGUAUUAUUUUUUUACUAUAUUGAUAUGGAUAUAUUUUGAAGAGGAAAAAUUGUUGCACUCAUAUAGCACAGUUUUAGGUAGGGAUCUAAUUCUUUUUUUAUAGCUAUAUUUGUUAUAAACUUCAAAAUGAGAACUAGGUUGCUCAUGCAUGAUAUUAUAUAACUCUGCUUUUCCUGUUAGGCUUAACUUUGGGUAUGACUUCGAAUUAAUUAAAUUUGUUAGUGUCUCACUGCCUUAUUUCUGGUUAUGAUAUUUACUUAAAUGUCAUCAUUUGUAUUUUGUUAGUAUUCUUUUGUCAUCUCUCUUUAUGUUAUCAGCUGAUGCAAAUGUUUGAUUUUUUAUUGCAUGCCACUUUCUAAUUCAGUGGACGACAAUUUUUUCCUAACCUUAAGAUGGUUUUGGUCUGCAGAUCCCAUGAUUGUUCCAGCUAUUGGUAAGAAUCCAUACUCUUAACAAAAGUCUUGCCAAAUGUUAACCGGAGAUACCCCAUUUUGGGUGUUUUUUGCCUUUCCCCGUUUGUUAUUCAUCUAAAUUUCUUUUCAACUAUUAAUUUGAUUGAAUGUAUUUCUUCUCCAUGAACACAAUCGGGUGAGAGAGAUUCUCUCAUGAUUUUUGGGUUUUUUUCUCCUCAUUUAUUGUUUUCUUUUUCUCUAUUUUUUUCUUCAGCAACAGGAAAUAAUGGCAGAAAGUUUGGUAUGAGAGAUGAAAAUUGCUUGACUACAUAUAUGUAUGUAAGGUAAUUAUAGAAAGGGAUGGAAAGACGCAUCAAUCAUUUAUUUUACCUUUUGUUUUUGUAGGUUAUGUUUAUAUUUUUGGGCUAAGAAACAUGGUUCAAAUAUUUUAGAAAU